GGGAGCAAGAAGGCCUAAACAUGUUAUAUUUUAGAGAGAUUAUAAGGGCCCUUUCUACUACAAGGCUCAGGUGCUUAGGAUCAUGGCCGACCAGCCUUCUGAGUUCGUUGCAUCCCUCUCUCCCAAGCUCUCCACUUGGAAGAUGUCUAUAGGGGUCAAACCUUGGUGAUUCACUGCCACCAUAUUUCUCAGGUACUCAGCAUCAUGAUAGGUAUUUUGUUUUCCUUUAUAAAAAUCUCAAAUGGAAUAAUCUCAUGAAGUUCUUGGCAUGUUAUUUUUGCAUCAUAACAUCUCUGAUUUGGAUGCUAUCCGCCAGUGGUGAAUCAACAUCUUCUUCUUAAUUCUUAUUUAGAAAGUCAUCUUGUUACCAAGAUCUUUGCUUUUGUCGAAAUUAAUUUUGAAACCAUUGAUAGGGAAUCUCAUAACCUGUGUCAAAAGGAAAAUUAUUGAUUGAUCAGAACUAAUGCAACUAAUUCUCAUGAGUCACAUUAUAUGUUUGCUUUCAUAACCUCCUUUUGUGUGCUUGUGUGUGAGAGAGAACUGAUUAUAAUGUUCAAAAAAUAAAAGAACCUAGCAUUUCCUUGUGAUCCUAGCAUUUUUAUUUCCUUGUCUGUUUUUUCCCUUUAUUGGAGGAAUUGAAAAAUGGGUUGGAGAGAGCUUCCUUCAGCCCACUCAUGGAUGGCUCCGGGGUUGGAAUCAGCUGCCGACUCAUUCAUUCAAACACUCAGUAGAACUUAAAGUACUUUUCCACUGCUCAAGCUCACCGACAGAAAUGGAAGAAGUUUUGCCCUACUGUGUGAAUGAGUGAAUGAUGCGGGAGUCUAUUCCUUCCUUUCCAUUCCAUGCUUGGACUGAAGGGAGCUCCCUCUUUAUUCUCUUUGAAAACUUCCAUUUAGUUUCUUUCUUCCGAGCGAAUAGCACCUACCUCUCUUUUGCUUGAUACUUCACUGAGAUAGUGUUUUUUUUUUCCUCUUCUACUGUCUAUUUUGUGCCUCUUUUCUUCAUCCUCUCGUUUGCAAUAUGUAGCUUCUCUUGGUGGAUAGUUUGCUCGAUGUAGGGUCCCUUGGAACACUCUUAUUUAAGGAAUGACAUUAAUAUAUACUAUUCUCUAGUCUCAGGCUCAUCACGCUGGCCUUUGUGUGCAACCUCAGAGGAAUUCAGUAGAGGGUUAAAACAAAGUCUUCCCCAACUGAGUGUGUUUCAGGUGUUUAUUUUGUUUUUAGUGAACAUAGGGGUGUGGUUGCUUGGAUGAAAUUGAUCAAGUAUUCUCUACUUUUGUUGCUAGUGGCCUUUUUGCAUUUAUGUCGUAAUAACAUGCUUGGUAAACCCUCAAUUCCCUUCCCUCUCUCUCUCUCUCUCUUUUUUUUUUUUUUUUGGGAUUUCGGAACAGAAACUGGCGGCCUCUCUUCUGCCAGUCCUUGAAAUAUGCGUUGAAGGAGGAGGACAGGGUCUGAAAAAGCUUGAGGAAGGACUGAGUUACUGUUCUGAUCUACAGUGGAAGUACAUCACUUCAGGUCCAUGGCUUUGUUCAUCUCGACCUGAUACCUGUCUUUUUUUUUGCUGAUACCUGUGCUGUAUAAAGUUCUUUAUGAAAAAUGCUUUUUCUUUCACACAUCUAUAAAUUGAUGCACUCCUCCCCAUGCGUCCCUCACCUGAGCAUGUCUCUCUUAAACAUUGCCUUGGAAGUUGUGAACAUUGCCUUCAAAGGGUUCUUUUUAUGUGGAUUAUGUUGUAGAAGUACACAUCACCUGGUUAUUUUAUUCUAUGCUAAGGUGCACUUGCUCUAUAAUGCAUCCUUCUCU